GACUCUUAAUGGUGGCUUGCUCGGCUCUUGCAUCAAUGAAGAAUGCAGCUAGAAAAGCGAAUUAAUGUGAACAGAAGGACAUAUUUAUCACCAACACAUUGAAAACACUUGCAGCCUCAAGUUCAUCCUGGGAUGAUGCCUGUCUGAACAUUG
rnacentral:rRNA from 1 species